rnacentral:rRNA from 1 species
UACAGAGGGGGCAAGCGUUGUUCGGAAUUACUGGGCGUAAAGGGCGCGUAGGCGGCCUGCUAAGUCGAACGUGAAAUCCCUGGGCUCAACCCAGGAACUGCGUCCGAUACUGGCAGGCUUGAAUCCGGGAGAGGGAUGUGGAAUUCCAGGUGUAGCGGUGAAAUGCGUAGAUAUCUGGAGGAACACCGGUGGCGAAGGCGGCAUUCUGGACCGACAUUGACGCUGAGGAGCGAAAGCCAGGGGAGCAAACGGG